rnacentral:rRNA from 2 species
UGGGGAAUAUUGGGCAAUGGGCGAAAGCCUGACCCAGCGACGCCGCGUGCGGGAAGACGGUCUUCGGAUUGUAAACCGCUUUCAGCAGGGAAGAAGCAAGUGACGGUACCUGCAGAAGAAGUCACGGCUAACUACGUGCCAGCAGCCGCGGUAAUACGUAGGUGGCGAGCGUUAUCCGGAAUUACUGGGUGUAAAGGGUGUGUAGGCGGGGGAGCAAGUCAGGCGUGAAAUUCAUGGACUCAACCCAUGGGCUGCGCUUGAAACUGUUCUUCUUGAGAGUGGAGAGGUAAACGGAAUUCCUGGUGUAGUAGUGAAAUGCGUAGAUAUCAGGAGGAACACCGGUGGCGAAGGCGGUUUACUGGACCAUCACUGACGCUGAGACACGAAAGCGUGGGGAGCAAACAGG